UACGAAGGGGGCUAGCGUUGCUCGGAAUCACUGGGCGUAAAGCGCACGUAGGCGGACUCUUAAGUCGGUGGUGAAAUCCUGGAGCUCAACUCCAGAACUGCCUUCGAUACUGGGAGUCUUGAGUCCGGGAGAGGUGAGUGGAACUGCAAGUGUAGAGGUGAAAUUCGUAGAUAUUCGCAAGAACACCAGUGGCGAAGGCGGCUCACUGGCCCGGUACUGACGCUGAGGUGCGAAAGCGUGGGGAGCAAACAGG
rnacentral:rRNA from 1 species